AAGAGAGAUGUCUUGCCUCUCAAUCUAAACAUCUUGAUUCAAAUAUUAUAGAUAUUAAUGAGUAUUUAUUAAAUAUUAUUCACUAAUACUAAUUAACAACAAUGAUCUUACAUGCUUGGAAUUAGAAAUUUAUACAGCUCUACUUUACACUCAUAUUCACUCUCAAAUGUAACACUGUGUCACUGAUAAAUGGAUGUUUACAUCCCUGUUCUUCCACAGGGAUGUAAACAUCCCCCAUACACCAAAGAUCUCUUUGGGGUAGAUUAACCAGGUGAAUUGAAUUAAACGUUUUACUCAGUUUCUUUUUGUUUUUGCACAAGCAAAUAGUAAAUCCAAAACCAUUUUAAUACCUAUAGGACUUACUUUGAGGGAGAUAGAGAGAAACCUCCAAGGCCAGAAAAAAGGUGCACAACCAAAAAGCUUUUUUUGAAACUGCAGUUGAUCACAUACUAAAAAUUAACAAAUGUUUCUGUGCAGGAGAUCAGUUUGGAGAAGGUUUUUUCAGUAAGAACAACUAAAAGCAAAUUCUGCCCUUUUAAUCCUCAGUUCUGAUGUUUGCAACACUAUUAUUUUCAGACAAUCAGAGGACGGCAGAUCACCAGAAACUCUUUCUGGAAUAGAUUUUCAAGAUCCCCAAACAGCUCGACUGACCUCAGAGUCAGUUAUUUAAAUAAUGCAGAAGUGUUCGUCUGUGAGAAAAAAGUCAACAAGCAGUAUUAUCCAUCACCAAAGAAUAACCAAAGACGACCUGCGCCGCCCACACCAGAGGAUGUUAACCUGUACGGCAACAUUUGAGUAAACAGUCUGAGGAUCGAUUUGGAUGCGCUUGCUCUUCUUCUGCUGCCAAGUUUCAGUUUAUAGUUCACAUUCAUAAUCAUGUUA